UCGGGAUAUCCGGGAAGGAUAUUCUUUUCUGUAUAAGCGUUCGUGAUCCCUGGAAACCUCUUGCAGGGAGAUAGGGUUUGGAACGCGAAGAGCACCGCAGUUGCGGCGGUGCUCGUAUCAUCCCCUUGGACCUUGAAAGUCUAGAAGAGGACCACGUGGAGGUGUCGCGCCGGUUCGUACACAUAUCAGCAGCAGGUCUCCAAGGUAAAGAGCCUCUAGUCGAUAGACUAAUGUAUGUAAGGGAAGUCGGCAAUUUGGAUCCGUAACUUCGGAAUAAGAAUUGGCUCUGAAAAGCGGGGCGUGUCGUGCUUGGUCGGAAAGCGGGUCUGGCUGACGUGCUGGGCCUGGAUGAGGUGAGCGCUUGGCCUUCUCGCUCCGAACACGGGAUCCGAGCUCGGUCCGGUGCUUUGGCCUCCCGCAGAUCUUCCUUUCUGCGAGGCUUCCAUGGCGGCGCGAGCCGUAGCGGUCGUCCUCUUCGGCCGCCAUUCAACGCUCAGCUCAGAAAUAGCACGGACUAGGGGAAUCCGUCUGUCUAAUUAAAACAUAGCAUUGCAAUGGGCCCCGCGGGUGUUGACGCACUGUGAUUUCUGCCCAGAGCUCUGAAUGUGAAGAAAUUCAAGCAAGCGCGGGUAAACAGCGGGAGUAACUAUGACUCUCUUAAGGCGGCCUCCUCAGCUUUUGAUACCCACUCCAAUGGAUUCUUUGAGCUGAGGAUCAAAGUUCCCUGUGCUCACUCUUGGUUUCCAAACAACACAUCAUCUUUGCGACGCAUAACGGCAUU
rnacentral:ncRNA from 1 species